UGAAAGCCAUUUAAAGGUCAACUUGACACAAGACUAGAGACACUAGCCCAGCAGCUUAACGAUUGCAGAAAAAAUUAAAGGAAAACCACAGGAAUGAUGAGGACCAUUUUCGUUUGGAGCUGCCUCCUGGCUGUACUUAUCGAGCCCUGCAUGUCGGACAUGUACAUGCAUUUUCCACACGGAUCCAACAAUCGUUUGAAUGGCAACCAAGAUAACGUCAAGAACGCAAACAGAUUGUUUGAUUCACAGGUAGGACCGGCCUUUACAUUUACGCUUUUUUUCCAAUUGAUCAGGGCUUCCGUACCUAAUCUCAAAGUUGGUGAAGUUAGAAGUCAAAUCAGAACAUGCAUCUCCACUCUGACUGAUGGCACACCAAGAAAGUGUUACUAGCACCCCAAAUAGAUUCAUAUCUGCAACAACAACAACAACAAUCUUUAUUUCGUGCCCAGAAAAAAUUUACAAUAAAAAUAAAUGCAUGCAAUGUGAAAAAAUAACAAUGAAAAACAGAGCACAGCCACUUAGAAAUAGCUAAGGCUAAUCGAGCUAAG